rnacentral:rRNA from 1 species
AUGGUGCUCCUGAAUUUGGGGUUUAGAUAUGUGCAGCAGGUUACUAUUCAGGCUGAACCUGUCAACUCCCCAAGUGAUUUUCUUGUUCUCAUAACUUCGAAACUUGUCCAGCUACUCAAAAGUACUAAGUGGCUUCGCACUGAUGCAAGACGAACAACAUCCGGCUUAGAUGAGUCACUUCAGUGGUGUCUUGAAAACUACAUGAGCAAGACUGGAGUUGAUGGGCAUUCGAGACUAUCCCUUUUUGAUGAAAAUGUUCUUCAGCUGAAUGAAUCUCACAUUGUCAAGCAAAAGAUCAGUGAUCUCGUGCAAGGUCCAAAUGUUACCGGUGAUCAUGGCUCUACAGAAAUGAACAACUGCGACCAGUCAGCUUGUUAA